GAAACGACGGGCUUGCCGUUGUCUGGGAGUAGGUCAGGGUUAUUUCUUUCGUUUCGUUUCAAAUUGACCCGUUUGCUCCACCAAUGCACACAACUUCAGCGUUGGAUGGAUUGAUGAUUGUUUUCACUAUCAAGGAGCAAUACCACAGCACUUUAAGCAAACAUGACGUCAACGGCAGCGAGAAUGUAAUCUGAAAAUGUAACUUUGCAUUUCUGCAAUAAUUUUCGCCGUUAUUCAAAGUCAUUACUCUUGAAAAUAUGUUUAUAUCGGACUGAAUUGGAACCAGCUCUUUUGAGAUACAGUAACUGUGAAUUGAACAGCUGUCAUCAUAUGCGCACAUCUUCCACACAACUGAAAACAGGUCAUUUCACGUUUUAGAAAGAAUGAGAACGUCUGCGAAAUGU